AUUGAACGCUGGCGGCAGGCCUAACACAUGCAAGUCGAACGGUAACAGGAAGACGCUUGCUUCUUUGCUGACGAGUGGCGGACGGGUGAGUAAUGUCUGGGAAACUGCCUGAUGGAGGGGGAUAACUACUGGAAACGGUAGCUAAUACCGCAUAACGUCGCAAGCCCAAAGAGGGGGACCUUCGGGCCUCUUGCCAUCGGAUGUGCCCAGAUGGGAUUAGCUAGUAGGUGGGGUAACGGCUCACCUAGGCGACGAUCCCUAGCUGGUCUGAGAGGAUGACCAGCCACACUGGAACUGAGACACGGUCCAGACUCCUACGGGAGGCAGCAGUGGGGAAUAUUGCACAAUGGGCGCAAGCCUGAUGCAGCCAUGCCGCGUGUAUGAAGAAGGCCUUCGGGUUGUAAAGUACUUUCAGCGGGGAGGAAGGGAGUAAAGUUAAUACCUUUGCUCAUUGACGUUACCCGCAGAAGAAGCACCGGCUAACUCCGUG
rnacentral:rRNA from 1 species